rnacentral:rRNA from 1 species
UUGGAACUGAGACACGGUCCAAACUCCUACGGGAGGCAGCAGUGAGGAAUAUUGGUCAAUGGGCGAGAGCCUGAACCAGCCAAGUAGCGUGAAGGAUGACUGCCCUAUGGGUUGUAAACUUCUUUUAUAAAGGAAUAAAGUCGGGUAUGGAUACCCGUUUGCAUGUACUUUAUGAAUAAGGAUCGGCUAACUCCGUGCCAGCAGCCGCGGUAAUACGGAGGAUCCGAGCGUUAUCCGGAUUUAUUGGGUUUAAAGGGAGCGUAGAUGGAUGUUUAAGUCAGUUGUGAAAGUUUGCGGCUCAACCGUAAAAUUGCAGUUGAUACUGGAUAUCUUGAGUGCAGUUGAGGCAGGCGGAAUUCGUGGUG